rnacentral:lncRNA from 1 species
UAUAGGUGAGUCCUAAUAAAGAAGCUAACAGGAAAGCUCCUGCCUCUUGGAUCUCAGGCUCAUUAAGAGUUAUAUAAACAAACUUAUCCUACCGCUUGCUUUUAUGAGUGCUAGCGUCAUAGGGAUGAGGAAAAUAUAAAACAGUGCUCCUCUUAGUCGCACUCCGGUUUGUUUCUACCUAUUGAACCUUUUAAGGUUGGGUUACCACCGUGGUAAUCUAUCUUUAUAGGCUAAGCCCCAUCUUCCUCGACGACUCUAGAACUACUAUUCUAGACAAACUUUUUGUAAGCUGAUCAGCCAAAUUAUUUUCUGAUUUUACAAAAUUCAAAGCAAUAACGUUAUUUUUCAGUUUAUAUCUUAAUGAUUUAUGACACACUUUUGAGUGCCUGUUCAUUUUUACAUUGGCAUUUUCUUGGUUGCACUUAUCUAUGUAAGG